ensembl:snoRNA Gm24067 small nucleolar RNA SNORD105
UGCUCCUGUCUGAUGAUGAGCCCAUUGCCCUGAGCUCUUGUGAUGCUGGCUUCAAAGUAAACGCUCUGAAGUGAAGGAGCAGGGC